rnacentral:rRNA from 1 species
CUUGGUCAUUUAGAGGAAGUAAAAGUCGUAACAAGGUUUCCGUAGGUGAACCUGCGGAAGGAUCAUUACAGAGAACGCGCCCUCCGGGGCAGUCUCCCACCCUAUGUUUACACACGUUGUUGCUUUGGCAGGCCUGCCCUCGGGCUCCCGGCUUCGGCUGGUCCGCGCCUGCCAGAGGUCCCGAACUCGUAUUCUGUGUCGUCUGAGCAUAACACAAUAGUUAAAACUUUCAACAACGGAUCUCUUGGUUCUGGCAUCGAUGAAGAACGCAGCGAAAUGCGAUAAGUAAUGCGAAUUGCAGAAUUCAGUGAGUCAUCGAAUCUUUGAACGCACAUUGCGCCCUCUGGUAUUCCGGGGGGCAUGCCUGUUCGAGCGUCAUUACAACCCUCAAGCUCUGCUUGGUGUUGGGCGCCGCCAUCCGUGGCGCGCCUCAAAGUCAGUGGCGGUGCCGUCCGGCCCCAAGCGUAGUAGUACUCUUCUCGCUUCAGGGGCCCGGGCUCGCGCCGGCCAGCAACCCACACUUACUCAAUGGUUGACCUCGGAUCAGGUAGGGAUACCCGCUGAACUUAAGCAUAUCAAUAAGCGGAGGAA